AAGAGAAAGCUUAUAUAAAUAGCAUAUGAAACAACUAGCUCAAGUUCUUGGAAGUGAGGAAGAGGCUAAGAAGAAGAUAUACUCUGUUUCCACUACUUGGCGCCCUCAUUUCCGAAGAGCUUUCUUACAAAGUUAAAGCAUUUUUGAUAUCACAAUUACUUUGUAUUUAAAA